UGUGUCACGUGAUCACCGCCAUAUUUGUUCGAACAAACUCGUACUUGCCGAACAUUCGACCGAAAACAAGUCCAAGUCUGCGAAAUUCUGAAAUGUCCGGCUAUUUUACAGCGUGAAAAUUGGAAUAAGGAAAAUUCCAUCACCUGCAGGGAAACCCUGAAUAGGACAGUAACGCAGUUUUCAGCAAGCCAGAUGUAGACAGCAGGAUGGCUAUGCGGGUGAAGCAGAGACAUGGGAUGGUACCCCCACUGGACCAACUAGAGUAUGAUGAUUUCUGGAAGGAAUUCCGGUCCAUAGAGGAGAGUGGCCGUCUGCCGCAGCCCGAAGAUGAGCAUGAAGAGAAGGAUCCAGCAGAAGGGGACCAAGAGGUCCAAUGGCUGAAGGAAGCAGGUUUUGAUGAAAUUGUUAAAAAGUAUAGAGACAGCAAGGAAAUUAACCCAGAAGACUUAGAUGUUCAAAACAUCACCUCAUCUCUGACCCGAAAACAGGCAGAAGCUGUUAGACGGCGAAUAAACACCUUGAAUGAAUACACCAAAAAGCGACUAAGCAGCUCUGACAGUCCAUCAAAUACAAGCAGCGCUCUGCCGGCAUCAUCCAAACACUCAAACUACACCGAUGUCCGCACAAUAUUCCCUGUCCAAACCACUGGACAGCCUAGUAAUGCAACAACAAGCUCAUCAACUAGUUACCCAAGCACGGAGGGCACUACCACAACUCCUGUGGUUAGUCCAGUAACAAGUCCUACUGCAGGGCACUCCCGGCGAACACAGAUCCGGAGGCCUUCCCUUCCUCGCCGGGCGGCAAGUGAGGGUGUUAACUUGAUGAAGCCUUUUCGGGAUGAUAGCUCUAUUGAGAGUAGUAUGCAUGGGCUUUACACUUCCCUGGCUGAGAUCCGUACUAAUGGGGAGAGCUUAGAUAAAGAAAAGGCUUCUCCUAGUAAGCUUGUCCACCCGCUGGCGGAGAGAAGAGCAAGUGAGGAUGUUAGAGUUCACUCAGAAGUUCAGCAGACGCGCCACACCCAUGGAUCCGUCUUCUACGUCACUGGACGGACCAAAGAGGAUCUUUUUAAUGCUGCAGAGAAGACAAAAGAGUCUUCUGUUGAUGACCUGGAGGACUCAAGGUUAAAGGUGAAGGAUGUGAGUCCACGCCCAUCGUCACCGCCAGAUCCAGAGCAGCCUGAGUGUUUUCAUGAAGCACCAGUCGAUGUACCUAGUGAGAGCCUCUCACCAAAACUGAACGAGAAAAACAAUGGAGUAAAAUCAUACUCUGGGCCUCAAUUCCCACGUUUACCCAAUUUCACGCUUACAAAAGACGAGCUUGGAUUGACUCACAUAUCAGACAUGAGUAAGGAAGACAUGGAGAAGGUCCGCUCACUGGCACUGAUUGAGUUGACAGCAUUGUUUGAUCAGCAUGGUAUUGCACUGCAUCGAAGAAAACCCAUAAAGAAGAAAGUCAAAGAGUGUGGGAUAUUUGAGGUACCACUACAAUACCUUGUUCAACACGAUCGUCUCAAGGGCUCCAACUCUAAUGUUCCACUGUUCCUCCAAGAGAUGAUACGAUUCUUGGAUCAUAAUAGCUUGACAGAGGAGGGAAUUCUCAGGGUUGGCGGAGCAACAGCCAGAAUGAAGGCCCUGCGUGAAGAAAUCGAGGAGACUUUUAACGAAGGCGCGUUUAGCUUAGAUGGGAGGAGAGUCCAUGAUGUAGCUGGACUUCUCAAACAGUUUCUCAGAGAGCUUCCCUUUCCUCUCUUGACGUACGAGUACCAGCCAACCUUUGCAUCAGUAGAAAAUAUCCCAGAUAGAAGACAACAACUGCAGGCAUUAAACUUGCUGAUAUUACUCCUCCCAUCCAUCCACAGAGACUGCCUACGGGUUCUCCUUACGUUCCUGAGCCGAAUCAUCUCGUACGAGAAGCAGAACAAGAUGAACUUGAACAAUGUGUCCAUGAUCAUGGCACCCAACCUUUUCCACUUCAGCAGCAGCAAGGAGAUGCCCAGCCUACGGGAGGUCAAGCAAGCCCAGGCCACCGUCAACCUCGUGAGGAUGCUCAUCAAAUACCAGAAUAUACUCUGGACGAUCCCUGGUUUCAUGGUAAUGCAGGUCCGUUAUCUCUAUGAGGCCGAGGGAAAUCGCAAGAUUAAGGAUGCCAAAGCAGUCAGGAAGCUGCUACUUAAGAAAGGUCGUGAAGGAGGAGGUGGCUCUCCCCAGAAAAAGCACUCGAUAACUGACACACCCAUGGAAGUGCUGGAGGCUGAACUGGCCAAUAACAUCAUCCGCGUGAAAGCACCAAUGCUGAACAAGAUCGCAAUGGCCAUACAGCUCACAGACGGGAUGAGGGCGGGAGACAUAGUGGCCAAGUUUCGCCGAAGACCCGGGGAGGACGCGGAGGGGUCAGAACCACGCCCAUCAGGCAGACGGCACAAGAGGGAUGUCAUGUCCCCCGAGUAUAGGAACUGCGUCAACCCACAUGACAACAACAAGUUUGCACACGAUAGGCACCACUUGUAUGAGGUCGGAGGCAACAUAGGUACUCGUACAAGGCAACAUAGUUGAGCAAGACAGCAUGCUGAGUCCAUGUAAGAUACUCAUACGAGGCAACAUAGGGGAGCGUUGUCUUGACAACGACACCAACAUGAAGGCGCUGUACAAAGUGAAUCCCCACGCCGAAUGGAUAAUCAAGCCGCGCUCGGAUUACGAGUAAACGCCGAGAAGCAUCCGAACAAUCCUCGAAGCCAUAACGUGGCAAAAGAUGCUCUCGUGUUUCGGACGGUAGGCCUUGAACCCUCUUCGAACAAGACGAAAUAACCCAGAGGAUUAUGGACGAAAAUGGACGCUCUCCAAAACUAUUGCAAAUAUCAACGUAAAUUAAGCAAGAAUAUAGCCAUGUGGUGUGAUAAUAACCGUAUCAUGGAGAGAGGUAUAUCAAGUUUGUCUCAUCAAAAAAAUGCUUAUCCGUCACACCUUUUUAUAGAGCAAAGCGUUCGGAUCGUAAUGCCAUUGCCAUUGGUUCGCUACUGUAUAAAAAUCUUAUAUCUGACUUUAAAACUUAUGCGAUCGACUAAGAUUUUUAUACAAAAUUAGGGAAAACACGCAUUUAUGGAGUGUUCAUUAAAUACACCGGGGGGGGGAGGGUAUAUAUUGAGGGGGGCUCCGAAAAUUUUUAACAUCCAAAUAGGGGGGACCCCCAAAAAAAGGUACUCUAAGGGGGAAAAAAAGAAAAUUUUGGGUUUCUAUAUAGGGGGCGCCGAAAAAAAAAUGUUUACAAUGAAAGGGGGACUCUGAACUUUUAAGGUGUCUUGGGUAAAAAAAUCUCCCCCCCUCCCUCCCCGGUGUAAUCAAUGAACACUACCUUAUGCUGGGACACUUGUGGCCUGGUUACCAGGAAAAAAAACUGAUAGCAAAACGUUAUCUUUAUAAUCAUGUUAAAUUCAAACCAACUCAAGUUCAUGUUAGAUCACCAAGCUGGCAAUUGGUCUUUUAACUAUUUAUCUAAUUUAUUCUAGUAACGCAUUGGUUGCCAGGAAUCUCGGACAUGGUGUAGCGUAAUCUUGAUUUUUGCCUUAGUUUUCACCAAGUGAGGGCGAGCACCAAUAAUUAAUGUAUGAAAAUACUAAUAUGUGGUUUCCCUGUUCAACUAUCAGUAAGAUAUUGCAAUAAUAUUUCCAUGAAGUUUUAAUGUUUGUGUUUAAUGUUUGAUGGUGCAGUUAUAUUUCCAGAAAGUUAAAAUGCCAGUAAAAAGAUGUACAGUAAUAUUUCCAGGAAGUGCAAAUGUCAGUUGAUGGUACAGCAUUAUUUCCAGGAAGUUAAAAUGCCAGUCAUAUGGUACAGCAAUAUUUCCAGGAAGUAGAAAUGUCAGCUGAAGAUACAACAAUAUUUCCAGCUAGUAAAUUGUAACUAGCAAAGUUGAAAGGGUGUUUUAAACUUUCUAAAAAAAAGGCAAUAUUUGAAUUGAUUGAUUCUAGAAUACAGCUAGCAAUAGACAUACAUAAUAGAUUUUUCCAAUGGAAAGCACAUUGUAUAUCCUUAUGGAGUCGAGGGCCGUGAUGGAUGCUCCGCCGCCUACUGUUCCAAGUCACCUGCUCAUUUUCUAUUAAAAUGUUGGAACCCUG